AUAUAUAUAUAUAUAUAUAUAUAUAUAUAUAUAUAUAUAUUACCAGUAUAGUUUUGACUAUUGCCGGUAAUUUUCAAAUUAAACGAACAUUUUAUCAAGAUUGUUAUGCACCGUAUAACUUACCUUAGCAACUAAGGAUUGACAGUAGUAGGUAAGGAUUGACUGUAGUAUGAACAUUAAUUUUGCCUGUUUGGAAAAACCAUUUAUCAUGCAUGCAGGUUCUAUUCGUAUCCUAUAUAUACGCUGAUUUCGAAUGAGCUAAUUGAAAUAUUUAAAUCCUCGUCACAAGCAUUGAUGUUGAAUAAGCAAUGUUUGUAUCUGCGACUUAUGAUUCUUCGUUACAAACGAUGGUUAUUAUAGCCCUGACAGGUGUUAACUGCCGCGUUUACCGAUAGAUACAGUAAGUUGUUGGCUGUUUUGGUUCGUAAUUGUAGUGAAUGUUUAAGCCCGUUUUCCACUCACGUAUUUCGCUGGCGAAAAAUUUCGCCACCGAAAAAGUUCAUUUGUUGUUCUUUCGCGUCGUCAACGAAAGGUCAAACAGAAGUUGAAAAUUUUAAGCAACUGUAGCAGGAGAACAAAUUUCUUCAGCGGCGAAUGAAUGUAAAAAAAUGAUUUAUUUGUCAAAAUUUUUCGCCAGCGGCGGCGAAAUAACGGAGUGGAAAAUUAGCAUUAUAGAAGUCGGGAACACAAGCGCCUAUUGGUGCGCUACGGCUAUUUUAUAAUAAGGAAUGGGGAACUGGGAGAAACGGGAAGUAGGGGAGUUGGCAAGUAGGGCAAACUAUUAGUGGGGCAAACAAGGAAAUUGGCAAGUGGGAAAACAUAUUGUGGGAAGUGGGGCAAACAGGGUGUUCGAGAAGUGGGGAAUUAGGAAAGGGGGGAAUUGGGGCGUGUCACAAUAGGGGGAAUGGAAGAUCCGCAGAACCAUAUAGAGUGGGAAAUGGUGGAGGUAGGAGAUUUGCUGUAGGGAAUGUGGUGUGGACUGACCGCAAGAACGGAGGGAAAAGAGUGGAGAAUGGUGGAAAACAGGGAUUAGGAAGGGAGAAACUGGUGGGUAGUGAGUCCGGAAACAGCGAAACCUAGAUUAAUAAAUAAGGGAAAUAGAGAAUAACCUUCUUGGUGUUUCACUUUGUUGGCAAACAUAUUAUUAUGGCAUGUUGGCAUUCACUAAUUCAUAUAAUAAUUAAUUAAUUAGCAUGUUAACUUACUUAAAGCAUGUACAUUACCAAUUACAAAUCAACCAUUGCAUGUUGAUGGCCAUAAUGCUAUAGGUACUAUAUUUUCCGGUUCCCCUACUUCCUUCCGAUCUCCUACCCUCAAUUUCCAGAUUCGCCAUUCCCUAUAUAUUAAAAGAUAGCCAGCGAGCUAGUUUGAAAUUUGUUCGCAAAUAUUUGAUACUAAUCGAAAAUAAUUUUUCUCACGAAUUUAAUUGCCAACUUUUAAAAAUAAUUAGUGUAAAUAUAGGAAUGAAAUAAUUUGUUGAAUUGUUUGAUUGCAUGUUUGUUAUUAGAUUACCUUUUAAAUAAUUUUGCACUUUCAAAAGUUGUCGAGAAAAUUCACGUGUUACAGCAGUUUUACAUGAUACGUGCAUGACCGCCUCACGCAUGGGAAAACUGCUGUAAAGGCUAUAUAUAUAUAUAUAUAUAUAUAUAUAUAUAUAUAUAUAUAGGUCAAUGAUAUUGUGUUUUCGCGGUGUUGUGUGAUGAGACUACCACCGUACCGGGUGUCCCAAAAAAGUUACUGAUUUAGAGUACAAAGAUUCAGAAUAGCUAUUGCAUUGCAGAAAUUUUAAAUCUACUAUAGUAAUUUGAAAUUUAAGUUAAAUUGACUUCAUUGAAAUUUACACUAAUCGCGAAAGAAUGGCGACUGUAUUUAAAUUACGUUGAUAUGUUGUUUUAUGUCAUUCUUCAACUUUUGAAACGUACCCAACUUCAAACAUUUGCAUCUUGGUCAGUAUGAAUAAUGAAUAUGAAUAUUGCAUGGCGUUCAAGUGUUGUACACCAAAGUUGCAUGGAAUUUAGCCUUUCAUCAACAUAAUCUCAUUUGAAUGCAAUAUAAUAGCUGUUCUAGUUUUUACGAGUACACGCACUAUACGACUGUAAUUCUUUUUCGGAGCGGCAUAUGGUGAGCAACAGCAUCUCGUAUCAAGACACCUUUUUUAAAUAUCUUUUUGUUAAUAACUUAAUAUUUUAUAAUAAUAUAAGUGUUUUUUAAACUUUAAAGCUGCCAAAUUGAUGGUUUAUCCCAUUCUUGGUCAAUUUUUUAAGGUGAAAACAGAAAUUUAAAUCCGGCCGGAUUUUCUCCAAAUCCUGCCGGAUGCCGGAAACAGAAACGUUUCGUAUUCUUAGCGUAAAUACCUUUUAUUGUUUUUAUCAAAACAUUCCGAGGUGUAAUGUGAUUUUCUUUCCAACCUUAGUAACUUAUAUUUUUAUAUCCAAAAAAUGAACUUUAUAUUACAAAGUGGUGAAUAUAUUUUCUGCUUCCAGAGUUCGAUAAAUUACUAGCUGAAUGUACGCAUGAGCAAAAUGGACUGUAUACCGCAUCUUUAAGUUAUCACAUAUACCCACAAUAUUUUCCGGCAAUUUUGAAAGUGCUGCAUCAAUAUAUUUUACCUCAUAGUCAUAUGUAUAUGUUUUGUUAUGUAUUAUGUCUUUGUCAAAUAAUAUCAAAUAUAAUUCGUAAUGAAAGGAUAGCUAGCUAUCCAUAACCAUAUAUAUAAAUAUCAAUUCUGAAUCCAAGAGUAUAUUUUUGUAUAAACGUUUUAUCAAUAUAUAUUACCA
rnacentral:lncRNA from 1 species